UGGGGAAUAUUGCACAAUGGGCGAAAGCCUGAUGCAGCAACGCCGCGUGAGUGAUGACGGCCUUCGGGUUGUAAAGCUCUGUCUUCAGGGACGAUAAUGACGGUACCUGAGGAGGAAGCCACGGCUAACUACGUGCCAGCAGCCGGGGUAAUACGUAGGGGGCAAGCGUUAUCCGGAAUUAUUGGGCGUAAAGAGUACGUAGGCGGUUCAGUAAGCGCAAGGUGAAAGGCAUAGGCUUAACCUAUGUGAGCCUUGCGAACUGUUGAACUUGAGUGCAGGAGAGGAAAGCGGAAUUCCUAGUGUAGCGGUGAAAUGCGUAGAUAUUAGGAGGAACACCGGUGGCGAAGGCGGCUUUCUGGACUGUAACUGACGCUGAGGUACGAAAGCGUGGGGAGCAAACAGG
rnacentral:rRNA from 1 species